AACGAACGCUGGCGGCAGGCCUCAUACAUGCAAGUCGAGCGGACGGACCCCUUCGGGGGCGAGUUAGCGGCGAACGGGUGAGUAACAGGUGGAUGAUCUGCCUCCCGGUGGGGGAUAACGGCUGGAAACGGCCGCUAAUACCGCAUUCGGUUGAUGCGUUGCGGCGCAUCAAAGAAAGGCGCUUCACGGCGCUGCCGGGAGAUGAGUCCGCCCCCCAUUAGCUAGUUGGCGGGAUAACAGCCCACCAAGGCUUCGAUGGGUAGCCGAACUGAGAGGUUGAUCGGCCACACUGGAACUGAGACACGGUCCAGACACCUACGGGUGGCAGCAGUAGGGAAUAUUGGGCAAUGGGCGAAAGCCUGACCCAGCCAUGCCGCGUGAGUGACGAAGGUCCUAUGGAUUGUAAAGCUCUUUUCUGAGGAAAGAACAUCCGGGGUAGGAAAUGACCCCGGCUUGACGGUACCUCAGGAAUAAGGAACGGCUAACUCCGUGCCAGCAGCCGCGGUAAAACGU
rnacentral:rRNA from 1 species